AUGCAUGAUCAUGUGAUUAUUAGCAACAAAAUUAACAUACAAAAUAUGUGAGUUUUGCAAAAUGUUAAAUAACAAUUUCAUUCAUACACUUUCAUCACUUUCAUUUGCAUCAUUAUGAAUGAAAUAAUUUAAGGCUUGUAUGUACAAACGUUCAAUAAAUUAUACUUAAACAGCAAAAAAGUUUACAAGGUACUUGUACUUGAAUUUUUCAUUCUGACUUUUACAAAAUCAGAAUUCAGGAAGGAGAACCUUUUUUUUUAUCAUUAAUUGUUUUAAAUGUAUAAAUAGUAAAAAAAAUUCUGAUAUGCAGUCCAAGCCUUAACAAUGAGGUUAACUGUACAAAGAGGCUAUACAAAACUGUUUCAAAACUUUUUUUUUUUAUUAAAUAACAAACCUUCUCAUUAAUUUCAUCAUGAAUAUUUAUAUUUUGACAAAAAAGUUAAGCAUAUUUCAAAUGAAUAAGCUUACCUACUUAUAAUAAAUAAAUAACAUUAUUCUUUGAACAGCUUGAAUGUAACAUAUGCAAUGUUCCAACUUAUAACUGCAAAAAAACAUUUAGAAACAUAGUUUAAGUGGGAUGUUAAAAGCUAGCUCAUAAAUAAUAUUUCAUACAAUAAAUGAUAUGAUAUGAAAACUGACGUCUAAUAGAACCAGAUAUCUACAUUGUAAGCUUCUGAAAGGAACCAAUUUCCGAUUUAUUCUUGAUGCUAGAAAUCUCAACUACUCUGAAGGUUGAUUGAUUUGUCAUAUUUAUGUGUAGGGUUCAAAUAUUCAAGGGUUAUGUGACUCAUGAAAAUAGAGAAUUUUAUUAUUUAUUCUUUCACUUUUUUUGUCGAAUUUUGAGAGGAGAUAUAAAAAAUUAAAUGAAUCAUUAACAAAUUACAAAAACUGAAAUCCAUGGCCAUGAUGAAAUAAUUUUAAAGAUAAGUUUUUACAAUACUGUGAAAAUGGGCAAGUUUUUCAUAGAUUUCAUUUCUUUGGACAAACAAUGAAUUGAAAAAAGCAAGUACAAUGUAUUGUGAAAACGGUUGUAUUCUUAACAUUAACAAUAUCAAGGUCAUGCACUUAAGUCAGUAAAAGGUAAAUUAUAAUUAUCAUUUAUCAAAUUAAUCCAUCAUAUAAUUAUUUUUUUUGCAAAUUUUAAUAUUUUAGUAAUUAUUUUGGGCUUGAAAAAAAAUGGGUAACAAUUUAUAUGAUAACUUUACAUACAUGUACAUGUAUAUAGAGGAUUUUCAUGUUAUUGUAUAUGGCGCUUUUGUAUAGUUUCAAAUAGACAACUGUGGUGAAAUCUGUAGGUCAGAUUUGAUAACAUAGUUUCUGUUCCAUUGAUUUGAAAAGCACUACAAAUUCAAAACCUACAAAUAAACUAUGAAAAAAAACCCGAAAAAAAAGCCAUUCCAAAAUUUAUAAAAACAAUGGUUUUUACAGGAUAAUAAUAAUAUGGUUUACAUUCCUCUAAAAUAAUUCAAAAUGAUCCUGCAACUUUUUGGGGUUUGUAUUAAAUGCUCAAUCUUUAGUUUUCUGUGUAGAGUUGAGAAACUUGUCUGUUUUUUCAUUGUGUUUGUUGUUGCCUGUUUUACUUUAUUGUUUUUGGACACUUACAUUGUAGUAUCUUCUUCCUCUUUUGACAUAAUUUCUACUUAACUAAAACAAAACUAAUCUGAAAACUGAUUAAACAUCUUAAUAAAUCUCAUCCAAAAGAUAUAUCAAAAUGCAAUUAAAAAUAAAGAUCAUAACAAAAGACAAUGAAAAAAAAACUUAGCACCA
rnacentral:lncRNA from 1 species